CUUAAUCCCCAGUAGAUUUAGCCUUUUGGUGAGUAAGAUGGAUUUCUGAUGUUGGCCUCCAUGCCAUUCAUAGCAGUGUUCCCAGUAGUAAACUUGUGCCUGCACUAAAAAUCCCCCUCUCAUGCCCCCACUUCCUUGCCAAAACUAAGCUCAACUAAAAUAAAUCAUAUUUUAGGAAGCUAAUUGUGCAGCCAAAUAGCAGAAAGGUAUUGAAAAACUGUUGUGUGCCUAACAUUAAAUGAAUUUACAUUGGCAGUAGGGAGCAUGCAUAACAAAAAUAAAUACAGGGACAUGGCAAAAGUGUAAUCAGUGGAAUUUAAACAAAAAAAUGUAUGUAAUGCCAAACAUUGGGAAUGGUAUUCAGACUUACUGCAGAACUAAUAUUCUAUGCAGUCACUGCACACAAUUUUUUACAGUUAAAAUACAUUCUGAAUGAAGUUUGCUCUUUUAUCAGUUUAUUGUAUUUCUUGGAAAAUUGAAACGUGUCAGGAUAUGCAUUUUUCUCCCUGCUCCUGAAGUGUGUAUAGGUCCCUUCACCAACCUGUGGGCAAUACGUUAAGAAAAAAAAAGGGGGAAAGCUCUGGCAUAGGCUGCCCUGUAGAGGGGUCACCGUCCCUAGAGGUGUUCCAGAACCGUGGGGGUGUGGCACUGAGGGAUGUGGUCAGUGGACAUGGUGGGGGUGGGUUGGUGUUGGGCUUGGGGAUCUUAGUGCUCAUUUCCAACUUUAAUGAUUCUGUGAAAAAAAUAAAAUGAGGAAGAAAAAAAAAACCCAAACAGUUUUUGGAGAAGAUUUUAGAAGUUUCCUGAUGGAUCGGCAUCCUUGAGAUUAAACAUUCCCAUAUGUAGGUUGACAUUUGAAAAUGUAAGUCUUAUGAAAGAUAAGAUGGAAAUUAUGAGAAAUGCAGCCUUAAAUAUUUGGAAGCAUGACUUCCUGGUUUGCAUGGCAGUUGGCAAAACUUUCAGGGGAAAGAUGCAUGUGGUAUAGGGCACUCAUUUGCCUAAAAGUUUCCUCCUAUCACCUAAUGUUUUGGUGCUCAUCUCUUCCACACCUUUGGAGGAGAGCUGCAGCAUCCUCUCUGCGGUGCUUUCAACCCCUCAGACAGAUGUUUUAGAUCAAUUGCUCGAAACGGAUCAGUUUAGCAGUCAGAAAACACUGUCAGAAAAGGUUUGUGGUAGAGAAGACAAAACUGUGAAAUGAAAUUGAACUUUUAUCCCCAUUUGGAUGGGAACUGUGCGUGGCUGGAGAUCCCAUGAGGAUGAACACAGUGACCUAUCGUGCUUUGAAAAACCAAACAGAUGACAGGGCUCAUCUGCAGCCAUCAAGCAACAGCAGCUUCUGAGAAAUGGUGUGACCACUAUCAUGCAGUGCAGCAGGAACUAAGGGAAAGAUAAUCAUGGGAAAGAGGAAGGUCCUCCUGCAGCAAGGCAAGAUGAUGGUGAUCUCCUGCCAGGCUACAAGUAGCACUGCUGCCCUUGCUGUGAAGGUGUGACAACACAAGACAUGCCGUUGCUGCUGGACAUUGUUUGAGCCAUGAUUAAUGUGCCAGCAGUAAUGGGUGUCAGCAUUGUCUGGCUGCAAUUGGCACACCUUAUUUCUGAGAACUCAGGGUACGGAGGCUGCUGUGGUCACUGUGGCAACCAUGAGCCCUUCAACAAGACAGAGAGAUCUCAACCCAAACCGCUAUCUGUCUGCCUCUCCCUGGGUAUGUGUCAGCACGAAUCUCCAAGUGUACUUUCUUUCCCUUAGAAGGUGUUGUGUGCUGUGUCCCGUGGUGACCUGCACAUAUGCUGAGCUGGAACUCUGCUUGGCACCAUUCCUCAGCCUAUCCAUGUUGCAGUGCAAUCGUAAUAUCAUGAGAUGGCUUGGGUUGGAAGCGACCAUAAAGAUCACAUAGUUCCAACCCCUUGCCAUGGGCUAUGUGCCCCCUACCAGCUCAGGCUGCCCACGGCUCCAACCAACCUGGCCUUGAGCACCUCCAGGGAUGGGGCAUUGUCAUGUCUCCAAUGGCAAAUGUGUUCCUAUCAUGGACUGUGCCUCUGCCCCUCCAUCACUACUGUGCCCUGCAUGCCUGUGCCACUUGCUUUUUGGUCGCAUUGUACUUUGUUUCAAGAUGUUUUGCAGCAUGUUGCCUUUGCCUGCUUGCCUCCCUCCGUCUCCGUGCUGGAUGAGUUUGCAUUGUGUGGUGUUUUCCUCUUCAUUUAUUGCAAACAAAUCUGGUCUCUGCCAUUUGUUUACUCUUAUACUCUGUCUUUAUGCCUUGGUAUGCAUUUUUAAUUAGAUGCGCUUCAGUUCUUUCGCUGCUUGUUAACACUUUCGGAUGGAAAGUGCGGUCCCCACCAGCUCUGCUAGUAUUCUCUGUGUGGAGGAAAUGCAGAUUUGUUUCUCCUGCCCCUGAUUAUCAUCCAGUACCAAGAGUCGGGCCCCAGCCAGCCUGCCUGCUCAGACCCUAUGUUCCUACUGGGGAUGUUAAGAUGGUUGCCCCUUCUCAGCCAGUGUAAUUGAGGGUGCUUUACUCCAAAAUACUCUGCAUACAGAGAAGGAGUGUUUGGGCUGUUUGCUUGGACUGUUUUCAGUCCUCGUCAACUCCAGUGUGGAUGUGUGACAUAGAGGAGUCCUGGGCAGAGCCCGCGGUGUGUGCAAAUCAGCUGCGUGCUGUCCCAAGCCCUUCUGCACACUAUGAUCAGGAGCAUCCUGGGGAUGUUGGCCACAGAAUAAACAGAGGAUGGAUGAGCCUGGAUAAGGAUACUGAAACCCCAAGCACAAGGCAGUAUUCACAAAAAGGCAUCUUUCUUGAGUGCCACUAUUGAUAAAGCAUCAUUUCUUUUUCUUAAAAAUAGUGUGAGCCCAUUUGUGCUUGUACUAUUUUGUUCUGCUUCUGUAUCUGACUCAUGCCAUGGGCAGGGGCCUUCACCCUCCCUAGUGCUCUCCUAGACCACCAGCUUUCUGGAGAUGGUGUGGGAACUGAGAUGGAAAAUCUUGACCCCACUCCACCCUUCCCUUCCAGUUUGCCUGCCCUGCUGAAGCAUUCACUCACCUCCCUGUUUUGCCAGAAUUCGUGUGUUCUCCAGAAUUUAAGUUCCUGAGAGGGAUGGCAGGACUGAAAAGAGGUGAAAAUGUCUCUUCCCAUCUCUGAGAGUGUUCCCUGACCCGACUCUCUGACUGGGGGCGAGGUUGCCAGAGGUCAAUAUCCACUUCAGUGAGUAGAGAGAUCGAUAUCUGCUGAAGCCAAUGCCCAGGAUUGUUUCCUCUUCCUUGCCAGCACUAUAUUUUAUAGAGAACAGCCAAGAAAUAUUUCUCCUCCCUUCUAAGGAGAAGAAGGGGGAGGAAAAAAAAAGAAAGAAAAAAAUGGAGAAAAAGAAAAAAGCUUUGUCUUCAUACUUUCUUCCCCCAGGAGGGCAUUGCAUUUAGCCUCUGCUCUGCUUUUUGUUAUCCAUUUGCAUGGCACGAUGUUUGCUUUGGCCAAUAGGGCAGCGCUGGCUCCUUGACUGGGGUGGGGUUCUGCCGGUACCCAGCGGUGUGCAGAAUGGGGACAUUCAGCCCUCAGCCCUAGGUAUUUUGGGGAUGCUGGGAUGCAGAGGACAUCCCAGAUGGUGCGGUUUCAUGGGGAGCGCCAUGGUGGUGGGAGCAAAGUGCUCAGUGCUGAGCCUGAGCACUCCAUGGAGCCACUCCAUGGAGCAACAUCGUGUUGGCAGGAGGAUGAGGUGUAUGAGCUAAUAGGGCUUUUCCAUUUUAAUGUCUAUUCAAAAAUGACUCUUGGUUGCUGUUCUCAAACUCGGCACCAACCGUUCCUUACACCACACAUCAGAUCUUUCUUUCUUUUCUGCCCUUUGCUUCAUGGAGAAGGCUUUAAAGCAAACAAACACCAAACUAUGAGAAACCAAGGGAAGAUGCAGACUGGCCCACUCGUUAGUGCCGGAGUGUGGAAACUAUGAAGACUUCUUUUUUUAUUACCAAUGCUGGAAAGCACAGUCACCGAGUGGGCUGGAAUACAAGUUAUGCUACACGCAGUAGUUAAAAAAACCUGCAAAAAUGGGUGUAACCCGUGGCUGUGGUACAACUGGCCUUUCAGCCCCCACUUGAGAUUCGUCCAUCCCAGGGGGAAACUGUGGUUUGGAAGAACAGUGUACAUUUAAUUUCACUCGGAGAACUUAUUGGAGUUGGCACUUCAAGAAAGACUCUGAAGUAUAUUUUUUGUCAUGAUGAGUGGCCCCCUCACCACUGCAUUUGAUUGUGUUGGAAGCAGAAAAGUUAAAUUCUUAUAAAAUGAUGAUUUACAAUCCCUGAUGAUCCAGGUAGGGCGCGCGGAUUGCGCCAGCGUGGUUAUGGGACUCCAAUCUCAUCCUCUCUCAUUGCUGUGAGAAAAUAAAACCGAAAUGUAAAAAAGCUGAAAACACAUCCUCUGAUGGCUCGGGGAAUUUUCUUACUCAUACGUUAUCUUUCCUAGUAGUUUAAGUUAUUUUGUCUCCACUAAAACCCAAAGCAAAACACUGCCCUGACACUUUCCCCUUGAUUUCUGAUCUGCGGCAGCCAAAUUUAUUUUUAUCUCGUGUCGUCUUUUCCCCCAUGGUUAUGCAAAUCCUCGGAAUAAGGGGCAAGGGGAAAAGCUAAUUUUAAAGCCAGUAAAUUCCAGUGGGAGAUUUCUUCAGUCGCUCCAAGCGGGACUAUCCUGGGUGCUGUUGCAGAGCUGUGGCUACCUCCAAAUAACACAGGGGUAGGUGCCAAGUGGGGAGGCUGAAUAUUUUCCUUGUAGACACAUAGCUUUGCCCACAGGACUGAAGUCUCUUGCCUUAAUGCUGCAUUAAGCUUCUCUGGAAGUACAAAGCUGACUUAGGAGGCAUGUGUUGAUGAAAUGUACCUCAUUGCAAUCGGCUGCUGAGUAGAACCUCUACAUGGAGGAGUUUGGCAAUGGGUGAAGGUGGGGCUCAUCAGAACUAUCUUCAGGAAAGUGUGGGGCAUUGGCACCUCAUUGCUUAUUCCAGCAAACUUUCUCUGUUUUGGCUAUCACGUUCUAUAUUUUGAUAUACUUUUAGUCUUUCUUUCUCACUCUCUUUUUUUUCCCCUCCUGAACAGCGGAUGUAUUUUUAAAUAAUAAAUUCCAUUUUCUUCUUCAUUUCUCUAUCUUUUUCCCCUUAAUGCAAGCUUUACUCAAAUCUGUUUAAAUCCACAUUUAAAUCUAAUGUACAGUAAGAGAUACUCCACGAUUUUCCAGGCUGAAAAAUCCAGGAGUGUUCACACUGGGAUCUGCUUUGUGAGCAAACUCAAGUGUGUAUGCAAGUGUUGGAGCUGUAGUCUGUAGUUCAGUUUUACUGAAAGUACUGGAGGCAAUCAGAGUAUAUGGCAAGCAUAACGGCUUCUAAACAGCACUGUGCUCUUGUUCACAGUGCUGGUGCUGGGUUAGUUGAUGCAAUUCAUGGUCAAUGUCUGGAAUCACAAUCAGAUCCUCUUUGCUCCCCCUUUGAGUGCCGUUGCAAUACUGCAGCAAAUUAACCAGAGACUGCUGUGGGGCUGAAGUUUCUGUAUCCAGCAAAACUCAUGAGCCCCUCCUGGUGUGAUGUGUCAAGGGGAUGUAAGCAUAUCUGUAAAUGCUGUGUGGUUUGGGAAGUGUUUAAAUACUCAUGGAGGCCUUUCUCUGUUCUGGGGAAGGGAAGAUGAGGAUGUGAAUACUGAUGGAAAUAAUUUAGGUGCAAGGUCCCAGGUUUGGAAAAUUUGGCCCAUAAAAUGCAUGCGCUAGGGGUGCUUGUGGUUGCAUAAGAUAACAAAAUGCACAAGUCAUGUGGAUUAAUCUCUCGAGUUACUGCAGGGGCAUAUUGUGUUCAUGUUCGUGUAGCCUGAUUAAGCUGCGUAUGAAUUUACAUCCCAGCCUUGCAGCCUAAUAAACCUAUAUGGUUUAAAAUGCACGGCGGGGGCUUUGUGCGUAAAUUCUGCUCUCACGAAGCAUGGUGUGCACGUCUGACUCUUCUUAGAAAGAGCCGAGCGCGUCCCAUUCCGUCUGCAAAUGGGUGUCUGAAUGCCAAAAUAAGUAGGAUAAAUAAUUUGCUUGAAAUAUGUGUUUGGGAGCUUUCAACCUAGAUGCUCUCUUCCAAACGCUCAGCUCUUCAUUUGCAAAUUCUCCGGUUUGUUCAAACUUUUGGACUCCAUUUGAUCUGGCUGGAAAUGAGAGCACAUCAGGCCUCGUACGUAAUCAGAAAAUGUCGUGUGAAAAACGAAGACUGCUGGGAGUAGCAUCUUUGUGGGAUUCCAGCUAAACCAAACUCGUUCGGUGCUGCUCCAGCCCUGAGCAAACCGGCCUCAUGUCUGCAUGUGCAGCCUGGGUUACUCCUGAGAGCGGCUCCGGGAAAGAGUUAAGCCUGUUCUCCUCUCCUAGUUGGCAGAAAGUUUGCAGUUUAAAAUUACAUACUGACUCUGGUGUAGAGACACAAGAAAUUAUAGAGCAGACACUGUCCAGGACAACGUAUAAUUUAAAAUGUACUAAAGAAUGUAUACCACAUGGCAAAGUAAGUGAAGUGCUUCUUCAAAUAUAAGUGUUUUGCAUAGAAAGGCUGUAAUUAUCCACUCCUAGGGAAAUGUUUGCAUUCAUUCUAAAUCAAUAUUUACUAUUCAUCUCUUGUGUUCAACAAAACAAGGAUUUAACAUUUUUUUGUUUUAAUGAGGUACUAAAACUACAAUAAUGCUACAGUGUAAUUGUCUUGAUACAAAAUAUUGCUAAAUUGUGUUGCUAUUUCGGGAGCGAGCAGUUUUUAAAAGGAGGGGGUAUCCCUGUUUGUGCCAUGUUCCUGCAGUAACACAAUCCAAGCUCAGCCAAGCAGGGCGGCUCACCACUUCCAAAGCGGAGUUAAGCCGCCUCUCUGUUAAGGCCCUUAACUGGGAUCAUUCGGGUGAGUCCUCUGUCUCCCCCCGAAAACAUCAACCUCUUUAUAAUGAUUCCUUUUCAGCUGGCGUCUCGACAACAAGCAGAAGAAUGCCAUUUCUGUUUCGGGUUUAAGGUUGUUUUCUCCCCUCAGCAUCCUUCAGAGAGGCAGCAAGAGCUGAGCGGGUGGUAAUUGGGCUGCAGCCAUCCCUGCACGCUGCUCCGAACCUGUUGGUGCAAAUGGGGUUGCCUGAACUUCACCUUCCAGGAAGAAUUUGGGGAUGUUCUGUAGAACGGUGCCAGAGCUCUGUCCUUUAUCUUUUUUUUUUUUUUUUUUUUAAUGCAUUUUUAUGCAUUUCCUGGGCACUGCACAGUGUUGAAGCGGCCCUAAAAUCAUACAGGGGCAAGCAGUCCUCUGCAGGUGAGAGUAUGCUGGUGAAGUAAGAGCACGUGAAGAGGGGCAGAGCUUUUGGAGGAGCACCACUUUUAAUCACAGCCUUGCAUCUCUGCUGUGCUGUGAUUAAGAGGAUGCCCUUGCACCAAGCUCUUUCUCCUUGAAUUUACCUGACAUGUCUUAAGAGAGGUAUCUCUCCAACUACUCUAACUUCAAAAAAGAGAAACCACACCCCAUGAGCAUGUACUUCUGGCAUUGAUGUGGCUCCACGUGAAUCAAAUCAUAUAACUGGAAAGACUUUGUUUGGAAAAGCCUUUAAAAUCCUUUAAAAAAAACAAAAAAACCAAAAACAUGACUUUUUAUGCUUACGCUCUACCCACCAGGCUCUGCCCUCCUUUUCCCAACACUAAAUGCUUCCACUUCUGCUGCUAGAAAUCAUGGUACAAAUGUGAGCUCUUGAGUGAAUUUCAUUCUUCUGUUCAAGAAGAUAGCUUCGUUUUCUUUGUUUCUUACAAAAGAAAAAAAAAAUCUGAAGUCAUUCUUCCAAAAAAAAUCGUGCACAUAAAUAGGGUGAAUAGCCCUGAGAGAAGAGUGCUCUCUUUCUCUAGCAAACGUUAUUGAAGCUGGUGUUUUAAUUCUCCAGAUAUCUCUUGGUGUUCAGGGUAACAAAAGGCUGUGUAGUGCCUAAUCAUUCAGCAGCGAUCCAGGAAAAAGCAGAAGGUUAAGAGCAAGUUCCUAAAGUCUGUAAAAUCAAUGGGACGCUGGAAAGGGAACUGAAGUGUACCAGAAGGGACCUCUUGAGGGUCAUUAAAAAAAGCAGAAACUGAUUAUGAACAGAGCUUUUACCCAAAGAACUGGAGGGGGCCAGCAAAACCAUUCUGCUGCACUCCAGUUAAAUGUCUAAUAGUGGUGACAUUUUCUACACAGCCCAUAAAGGAUAAUGAAGAUGGCUUUGAUAGCUUUCAAGAUAGUUGUUCUUGUCAGUGUUCACAAAAACAUGACAUGAGCAUGCACUAAGAGCAUGCGGGUUGAGGUGAUUGCACCAAGACUGUGAAAGGGAAGAUGGCAACCCAAUAUUGGGUCUUCCACCUUUGUAUUACGCCCUAUUACACAAGAGGAAAAAAUUGUGUCAGCCUAAAAAUGCAAUGGAAGUGGCAACAGUGACAAAGCUCAGUGUUGUGCUUAACCAACAUCGUACCUCACCUUGGUGUGGUGGUUAUGUGCAGAGAGGUAGCGAUGUUGGGCGAUCUCACAAACAUCAGCCUAGAUUCUCUCUCGCUCCAAAGCAGAUGAGAAAUAAGAUUUUGAUCUAAAGCUUAUCAAAAUCCCUCAUCGUCAGCAAAGUUUGGAUCAGCACCUCAUAACUUUCUGCUCAUUUUCUGUGCUGGGAAAAAGCAACCUGCAGGAAGUCUGUCCCAUGGCAUGUUUGUGCUAUUCCUGUUUCUGACCCCAAUCUUCUGUGAGAUUUUGGUGAAUUGCAGUUUUACUAUGAUGUACGGGAACAGUUAAAUCAUGGCCUGAACCUCUGAUUGAUCAUCUGAGGCAAGCACCAAGUCAGCUGCAGGGGCACAGGUGAACGCAAUUUCACCUGAGUGACUGGAAGGGGUGGAGCCUGGCUGCACCCCUCCUAGACCCCAUUUAAGGGCUGACUCCCAAGGAGGAUGGAUAUCUAUCUGGAGAUCCUUCCUCUUGGAGCCCUUCUAUGAGCCCAGGAUGCGGGUAAGAUCUUUAUUUCAUUUCUGCUUUGUAAUGCGAUAAUCUCUCUGGUCCAAUAUCUGUAUACCUGUUUGCCAUAUGCUAUGAUUUAUUUUCCAAAAAAGAAAAAGAAAAAAAAAAAAAAAAAGGAAAAUUAGGGUAAACUCGCAUAUCUUACUGGAAUGCUCUAAAAAAAUAUUUGUUAGAAAAUAUUUGAAAUAUCAGUGGGAUGAUGCUUUAGUUCGGGGUGAUAUUGUUCAUCUUAAAAAAUAAGUAGCUAGUUCAUCUUCGGUUUUGGUCUACAGUGAAGAUGUGUUGGAAAAAAUAACAGAAACUUAGAGUAAAAAUCAACUUUGAGUUCUUUGUACUUCAGAGGAAGCAAACUUUUUUUAUAGAAAUAGAUAUUCACAGGGAUGAAUUGCAUGUGAGUCUGUUUACUAGUGGAAAAGCUGAAUUGUGAAACUUCUGUGUCACUGCUCUGUGAUUCCAACUAUCUUCAAUUAAGAGAAAAAAAAUGCAGGAAAAUCAGGUGGAAGGAAUGCAUGGAAAUUGAAGUCAAAGAAAAUAUUUGUUGUGGCCUUGGUAAAGUGAAUUUUCUAAGCUGAAGUAGCUUUUAAGCAAUUAACAUCUGCUGAGUGAAAUUACCGAGUGACAUGCAGCCCCAGAUGGAGGACUUGAACAGCUAGUGACCAUCUGGAUUUUGGUCUUUGCACAGAGCACGCUCUGUUCUGGCUCUCACCUGGCCUGUGGACAGCCCUCUAUCUGCCUCUCCUGCCACCGUCAGCCUUGAGUCAUGGUGGGGAGACCUGCAGGGAUGGUUCCUCUGCUCACAUCAACUCCAAAGAUACUCGAAUUCCCCAGAGAUAUAAUCACUGAUGACUUUGACCUUUGAGUUGUUGCCUUGACCCAGUUUUCCAAAAGGAGAAAAACUUACUGGGAUAAAAUCCACCUUUGAGCCAUAAGGGUCUUGAUACACAAUGGUUUCCAAUGAAACAUAUGGCGUGGGAGUCUUGGCAUCUGAAAUGCCAAGAAAAUCAGAUCUUAAAGAGAGAAUUUUGUCAGCAGGCUUUCAUAUUAAAAAAAAAAUAUAUAUAUAUAUAUAAAAUAUAUAUAUUAAUACAAUUACCUUCCUUAGAAGGUGUAAAAGAUGUCAGGCCCAACCACAGGGACAAUUCACUGACAAAAUUCAGUUUUUAAAGUGAAACUAUAGUUUUUUUUAAAUUCAAUGAAUAAAAAUCAUCUGACAAAGAGUUUUUGACUACUCUGUAUCUAAAAAUGAGCCAGCUUCAUUUAGUCUAUUUAAAAAUUGUGUAUUCAUACUGCUUGUAUGCCAAGUUCAGCAUGAUGGAAAUGAAAAUGAUUGAGGUAUAAACCCUUGGAAAACAGGGUUUAUAAUGGAAACAGUAAUUGACUUCUAACUACCGCAUCAAAAAUACAAUACUAUAAUACAAAGCCUAGCUCUUGGGAUCUCAGCUCCCUUCUAACCUCAGGUUGGCAGAAGAACACCUCACCACAAAGCUAACUAAUGUUUAUAGCUUGUUUUUUUUCUCUUGCAAAAGGAACAUGGCAAGUGAAGAAAAUUUAUAGGAACAAAGCAAAGUUGGCCAACAGUUCAAAUGUUCUCUCUUGUUAGCAACAACAUUCUUCUUCCCUGGAUGAAUGCUGUAUUUUGGCUGAUAACUUUAAUCAUGAAACUUGAGUCAGAACUGAGCCUUACUCUCAGCGUUAGAAAUAGUUCAACUGUUCCUCCGAAGUUCACGCACUUGGUUAUCCUAAAAGGAGAAGAUUAAAAAAAUGAAAUUUUUACAGCUGUUGAUUUUUCCCUUUCCCUGUAUGGCCAUGAAUAGCACAACAGGAAGGAGAGGAGAGAUGGCUGUGGUAAUGGAACAAAGUAGAUUUAUUGAUCUCAUUAAUGAUGCUUACCCAAGAUAGUCAUCUUUGCUUAGACUGAGCUUAGGUGCCAUUUUUGCUGCUAAUUAUGAUUGUGAAGACAUCAUGACAUCUUGGAUUAGAGUGAAAGUAGUGGUACUAAUUCUCAUUAGGAGCUGAAAACCAUGGAGGACCAGGAAUUUCAACAGGGGAACCAGCACUCAGCUAUGGCUGAAUAAGAUAGACCCUUCUAUGGAUGUGUGAAUUAAAAAUGAGUACUCUAGGAUCAGUAUGCACUUAAUAGAAGAAGAAAGAAAGACAAAUUCUACUGAGAUCUUUGUGCCUGCAGUACUUCAACAAUUCUUGCUACUUUAUGUAUUAUUAUUUUAUUAAGUUCAUAUUUUCACAGGUAAUGAAGAAAAACAGAGAAUGCAGGAGCACUUUGUGUCCAUAAAUGACUUUAGUUCAGCUACAGAUGAAGAAAAAAAGUAAUUACUUCUAUUUUCUUUAGGUAUUGUUGAAGGUAUACCGCUAUAAUCUCAGAUUUUUUUAUGUACCUGCACCUUCGCUUCUGCCAGAAUUACUUGCUGCAUUCAUCUAGCUGCAGAGAGACUCUGCUGAAGGAAAGAUUGCACGCAAGGACCUCAAUUCAAUGCCAGGAGACGUGCCUUAAUCUCUGGCUCACAGCCUUGUCAAAUGCUGCAGUAAAGAACUGGCAAGCUCAGUGCUGCUAAUGGAUUGAAAUCUCCACCAGAGAUAUGCUGUGCAACCUCAGCUUGCCUUUUCUAUGAGCAGCUGAAAGACAUUGCUAAGCAGAAUUUACCCAUUUGCAAUGGCAUUUUGAGCCCAAGCGGGCCUUGGGCAGGGUGCAAAGAGAAACAAAGAAGUUUGUCUGCGAGGCUUUUACUGAAUCUUAGCCAAAGGUACGAGUCUUUUAACGAAGAAAUACAGCUUCUACAGACUUGCUUUCUCUUCUUCAGUAUAAAUUUUGAUGUAUAAAUAACGUUCCUACGGAGACCUGGUCAUCUGCUGGUAUUGAUCACCUGCCUCCCUGUCCUCCAAGGUCUGAUUCAGUCAUAGCCUGAAACAAAUGUCAGCACCUUUACUGGAAAAUGUAGUAAACAGUGGAUUAGACAAACGAGAGGGCUGGAAAUGGGUCUGCUUCAAGUCUUACCGCAUACCUUGUGGAGUGAUGUCUGGAGAUGGUGGAGUUGUGUAUCCUCCGUUGAGACUGCCUUCAUGGCACAUUUGUUUCAAGGCAUGCAAUUGAGACGCUCGGAUACCGAUGUUCAGAGCCCUCUUCUCCUUGCUUACCUAAAUUUAGUUAAAGAGCCCUUGAGAUAAGUAGAAGUGCUGCAGCCACAGUCCUAGGGAGAAGUGUUCACCUGCUUGUUGAUUCACUGCCGGCUGUGUUCCCUGACUGCAAUCAGAGCACAUUUUCCCCUUCAGAAGUUUAGAAUCAAGGAGAAGGUAAACACAUGCCAAAUCUUGCAGUGAUGUUGGCCCGCUCCCAAAGUUGCAACAUAAUGAAGAAAACGUUCAGUUUAGAACUCUGUGCCCCUUUUUUACAACAUUCCUUAAGUUACUCAUGACAGAUGCAACUUUCCUGGCUCCAGAGGCUGAAACCAAGAUUCUGAGCUGUUAUCCUCAAGGAUAUUGCAUGAGCAAGCCCUCUCUACCAUGGCAUUACUGCUUCAUCCCAGGAAUAAUUCACCUGAUGCACCCUGAGACCUUGCUGCCUUUUUCACAGGGUAAUGUUAAUGGCUAAAAUGAUCAGAUGGGAUGUGACCUUCGGCUGCCCUGGGCAGAUUCUCCUAGGUGACUGUACUGUGGGACUGUACAGAGCCAUGCUGGAUCAGAAAUGGAAAACAGAACCAUAGCCAGCAACAGAUGGAUAGAAGAAUUUUGGCUGGAUGUUGCACAAAAAGGUCUACGUACUCUUAGGUUUGUGGUAGAAGAGUUCUCCAAGAUGCUAAUUUUAGGUACAGUUUGAUGUAGAACAUUUGUUCUUCAAUAUCGACGACCUUCUUCAAAAGCACACGUUAUUCCAGACCUUGGGUAUGACAUAAAGGGUUAAGCUGUCCUGUUGUAUGGAGAAGCCAGAGCCGCCUCACUGCUCUGUGAAAUCCAAGGAAAGCAGUGGCUCCCGAAAUGCCCUCCCUUGCCUCAACAGUUUGAAGACUGGUUUCUGUCCUAACUUGGUCUGAAUCUGCCUUUGGUGCCAUUGUGGAGGGAGAAAACACUUCAACUAUGGCUUUCCCAACAGCCUUUUCCUGGGAUGGAUAUUUUCUUCUACAGAAGAAACUUCUACAGAGAAAUUCUGAUACGGUCAACUAACUAGAGCAUCUGGUGUAUGCAGCUGGUCUAAGGAUUCAGCAAGAGGUGAGACCAGGAGCUGUUUAAUCACCACAAACAUGAAGACUAACCCAAGCAUGCUCUCCCUUCUCUGGAGGAAGUCAAGCAGCAGCACUGAGGCAUAAAUGUUCAAGUCCCUUCCAGACGUCUUGCCUGCUUCUGCCUUGAGUCACUAGAAAAACAAGGUGGUUUUGCUGGGUGGAGAUUUGUGUCAGAAUAACUUGCAGAACCGAGCCCUCAGUUUGCAAACGGCGUCGAACUUCAGUUCAUUAAAAGAAAUUUCAGAGGUGAGCUUCGUGAUGCUUUAAACAAUCACUGGAGGAAAAUAUUGGAGCUUUCCACCAAGGCCGUGAGCCAAGCCAGGUUCCAUCUGUGCACUCUCCUCUACUUGAGUGGUCACGUCCAUGUGCCAUUACUAAGGAUGUAUGGUGGAAUCAUGCCAAGCCUUCAACCUCACAUUUUGAACUUCUCAAUAAGAAAGACGGGGGGAUGGUUUUAAAAAGCAAAAGUCCAUGUUCUUAAGCAUCAUACUUGCUCUUGGUAUUACUGGCAACGGCUGCCCAGGAAUCACUGUCCCUGGAGGUAUUCCAGAACCACAGAGAUGUGACACUGAGGGACACAGUGAGUGGACAUGGUGGGAGUGGACUGCAGUUGGACUUGAUCCUAGAGGUACCUCUGAGAGACAAAGGUCAGGAAAUGGGCUCCUUGCCAGGCCACGGCCACGAUCCAGGUUUUCUGAGACUGAGUACAUUCAUCUGAGCUGUUAGCUGCUACGCUCCACCGCAUCCCUGUAUGAUCUGCCUAGGCUUGGUCCCCCAGAGGAAAUUUCUGCAUGCAUACUGUAUAUGAACUUUAGAUAAAUAAAUAAACACGAGAAACAGCUUCCAGAUAAUUGAAAGCGAGUGAAGGAGGGAGCAAAAAGAAAACAAUUUCUCAGGGGAGAAGCAAGCUGAGGUGGCAGGUGCAGCCUAAAUUCAGCCAAGGUAUUUUGGUUGUUCACUACCUUCGCGUAAUUAAAUAUUGAAGCACGCUGAGCUGUGGUAUCAACAUCUGUAUGGUACAAAUACCUUUUCAGCCCAGCUGGACUCAGCUGCAUUAUCUGUGACCUGAAAAGCACAUGCUCACCUUGGUUAAAUGGGGCUCGACUCAGCAAUAUUCAGCAGAGCUGCGGCGGUUCCUGGCUCCGGCCACCAAGGCUCCACAGGAUUUUCACUGCUCAGGUGUUGCAAAGCCUAAUCCUUAUUCAGGAACCAAAACGCUCCCCUCUCCUUGCCUGCGGUGCUUGGAUGCCUGCCUUUGGCAGUAGCCCCAGACUCCUGCAGAAGAUGAAGACAUCCCUCCAUGCCUAUAGAUGGAAAAGCGCCAACAUGGAUGCCAUCAGAAGGACGCAGCUGAGCAUAUGCUGAGAAAAUUGUGGCAUCCAUACUGUACAUGGGGAAGGGCUGACUGAACACACCAGUUUGUUGAAGCUUAUGGCCCUGAAAAGGAAACAUAGGUUUCCUGUAAAUGUCAUUCAGGGAUAUGCUAACUGUUAUUUCCUGGCACUGGAUCAUGAUGCUUUCAACACAUUCUGUUCCUCUACCUCUGCUGCUACCUCUGCUGCCUGCCUGCCUGGUUGUGCGCAGUGAUAGCUCUCCUGUCUUCUCACCUUUCCUCCUCCCCGCGCCAGGCAAAGGUAUUCUGGUUGGGAGGGCCAAUGUCAGCGAGCGAGAUGACAGACGGAGAGAUGAAAUCUCAGCCCUGCACUCAGCCUGGCUGCUGCCUGUACCUGGGCCUUGCUGCACCAUCCCUUGAACGCAAAGCAAUUCAAGGAAAAGAGUAACUUCUGUUACAUUAGAAAUCACGCAUUUCUGACCCAGAAAGAGAGGAAUUUCACAGUCUCUCAGGACAUGUGCUUGAAGGGAGGAUUUCUGGAGCCUAAACCAGAGGAGCCCAGGAGCUGCUGGUGUGAAGGCUCACCGCAAGCACCUGCUGCUUCUGGAGGAGUUCCUGUGGCAAUGCAUGUGCUCAGGAUGAAUAGGUACAGCUGUCCAGUUCUAGUAGAUAUUUUUCCCUCUGGUUUAUACAUAUUUGAAAAGCUACACAUGAAUAAACACAUAAAUUAAUGCUAGAUGUACUUCUUAUCCAUGCAAGUGUGAGCUGUAUGUAUAUAGAUACACAUACAAAUAUGGGCAUAGUUAUCAGCCUUGGUAUCCUACUUGUUAAGGUAAUUGUGUCAUUUAAAUUCUGUCAUACUUGGUUCAAGACAGAUUCAUUAACUGGUCCUAUUUAUUACUCCAGGAUCUGAGCACCUGUUUCUUAGAGGUAAAACCAGAAUAAAUCUCCUAAUUUCCCAGGUUCUUUUACAUUUUCGCUUCGAAAUAAUGAGACGCUUAUAUUCAAAGAAAAAAAAAUGAAAUAUCUGAUACUGAAAAAUACAAUCAAGUUAAUUAUUUAGGUAUACCGAGGUGAAAUUAUUGCAUUUGUUUGUCUGUGUAGAUAGUUUUCUUUGUGCUGGCAUAAGCCCUGAUGCUGGCCAUAUUCUGUGAACACAGUUAUUAUCAUAUUUAGUAUCUUAAAUGUGUACGUACAUAAUUGCUUUAUAUGUGUUUGUGCUUCCAACAUAUCAGACUGGCUAAGAGAGAGCAUCCAUAGCAGUAUCAAAUUGCUUACUGCUCUCUCCACAGUCAACUAGAGCACAAGGAGGAGAGGAAAGAACAACAGAAGCUCUGACUAACAAUUUCUCUCUCUCUCCCUAUUUAUUUAGGAAUCCAAGUUAACAGAAGGAAGAAACAACUCUUUUGUAGUAAUGCUCUGUAGGGCAUUAUCACAGCUAAUCUUAUGGUGGUAUGUUUUAGUCCAAAAAUGUUACUGCUCAGGUCCAUGCUACACCAUUUGUCAGUUGUUUACACCCUACAUAUGGAUUAGCACUGUAUGCCAGCCAUGAAAACCUGUUCUGCUCUUAACCCACCUGCAUGAAGCGCUGAAGCAGCUCACUGCAUCUGAUAUUUAGCUUUACUUCCUUAAGAUGUUGGACCACAAGAAGCAGGCACAGGUACAGGUAACUUGGUAGUGUAAUAAACUCUCCCCAUGUUUCAUCCACCAUUGGCUGUCAAGUUUAAAGAUGUUUGUAAUGAUUUGCCACUGGUGAAAUCCAAAGUAAGACUAGGAAUGUGUCUGUUUUGGCCAACUAGUAAUGACAGCUUGAAUGAUAUUGCACCAAAGUACUUUUGGACCACUAUUGGUUCACUGCCUGAAAAUAAAAUCUUUUUAUUUAUUUUGUCUCCUAUACCCACCAUUCAGAUUUCCUUCAGGAAACAUACCCUGGCCCCUGUCCACUAUCGGAUAGGUGAGAGCGAGGCGGUCUUUGCAGUGGUUAAGCACAAAUUUUGCAGAGAAGGGAUAAAGUGUUGUGGGCAAGGACCUGUGGGCUGAAAGUCAGAGUGACCAUGAUGCAGUGCCAUCACCCCACCUCACAGCUCAGAGUCUUGCAUAUCGCAUGGGCUGCCUGGAGCCUACACAGUUCACAGAGUGGAAAAAGGAAUUGAAGAAGCAAAAAUAAAUACUAAAGCAUGUAAGAAUUAAAUAUCACCUAUUUAAAUAGCAAUUACGCCGCUAAAAACAAGAUCACCACACCUGUACAAGAAAAGACAAGCAAGCCCAAAACAUCUGUUUGCAUCCACCUGCCAAGCACCUGUUCCGCUGUUUCAAUGCCAUUUGAUUGCUGGAGAUGUAGAGGCUCUUGUGAGGCUGGUCGUCACACAGGAAACUGUAUGCAGAGUCCAUCAGCCCAUGCUCUUCAUCACGAACUCAGUUGCUCUUUAAGACCAUCUCCCAGAGAUGAGGAAGAUGCGUUGAUCCAAACGAGACGCAGCCAAGCUUGGAGCAUCCUCUCUGCUCCAUCCCAAGGAGAACGGAAGAGCUGGCAAGCUGAGACACUACCAGUACUUUGUGGAAACCGACAUAUGAAUUUGUUCUACAAAUGUGCCAGGGACACACUGAUCCAACAGUUAGAUCACUUCCAGAAGACACGGAGUUAGAUCUCUGAGUUCACUUCCAAUUGCUGACUACUACUAUCCAAUAAAAGAAAAAUUCUGCGUAAAGUAAACAAGGAAAAUGGAGGAGAUUCUGCUGGAAGGACAGAAGGGACAGCAAGCAUGGAGAUUUAAGUCAGAGGAAGACCGACUGUCACUGCAGAGGGGAAAGGGCAUGAGAAUGAGCACUGCAAGAAAAAAAAAUCAUCAAAAAAUUCCUCCUUCUCUGGGAUGAAUACAGGGGAGUAAAUGUGUUCCUACAAAAAUUGAAUUAUGUAGUGAUUUUAAAUAUGGUGUGAGAAUGAAGGACAUAUGAGCUGCAACGAGAGAACCAAAGAGGAAUUAUGUGAUGUGUUCAGGCUGGGAGUGUGCCUCACAUGACAACAGGAAGAGAGGAAAGGUGGAGGAAAAAAAGAUCAGAAUCUACUCUAUUCUGAGCCAUUAAUGUCAGCCAUGUUGAUGUUUUGUAGCUAGUUAUAUUUGCUGAUGGUUCCCACGCACUCAUGACAUUCAACUUUGCAUCAUCCCCUAAAAACUGGAAAGAUGUCUCUCUGAGAAUGACCUAUAGCUUUGAUAUCACCAUAACUAAUUUCCUUUUCCUAAAGUAAUGGUGCCUACUCUUGAGGAGCAGAAUGCUGUGAGCUUUUAUUUCCAGUCUGAGGAUAGUUCUGUGAUAGGUGGAAUAAUGCCAGAACCUACUUUUCAUUAGAUUGUAUGAUCUGACUUUAUCUUGCACGCUCUGUGUGGUUUGAGUGAAUAAAUCACACCAGAAUUUAUGGGGUUUUCAUCCUUACAAAUGAAUCUUCAUCAUUACUAUGUGGAUAUAAGUAUUCUUGGGCUGCAGAAGACAGUGAGACCCACCAGGGCAACACAAACUGAUUCCAACUUGCCACCUACUACUCCCUUAACCCAAAACUCCAAGGACCUGGGCCACUGAAACACUGGGAUCCCAUAGGGACCUGCCUGGCCAUUCCAUUUGGGGUUUGCAGGACAGGAUCCUGGUCUUUUGUGAAAACUGUUGACUAAAAAUUUGAUUUUCUCUUUCUCUUUUUUUCUUUUACCUUAAGAAGGGCAGAAGAGGAAUGGCCAGAAGCCACCUCCUUCUUUUUUGGACCAGCCUGCUUUUCUAAGGGCAACAAAAACCAACAGAAGUGGUAGAGAAGAUGAAUGCAUCUUCCCUCCCUUCACAUAAAUUUGUGGGUUUUUUUUUCCUGUUGUUGUUGUUUUAUCCUUUUUUGUUUUAUUAUUUUUCCUAUUUAUUUUGCAAUUGGAAAAGUCCUGGGAUUUCAUUAACAACUUCCCAGGAUGACAGUGAGACCCUCACGACCCAGCAGCGAGUCCCAGUUCCCACCUGGGUGCCUCUGGAGAGUGACAAAUCUCUUGGAUGUGCUCUAACAUCCCAGAAGCACAGGCCAGGAACAUCUGUCUGUUCCUUCCCUUCCUUCAGACUGCCCCGAGGAGGAGGGAGGCAGGCAAGUAAUGAUACGAAAGGCAAAGGCUCAACUGGCCGUGUUACAUUAGCCAACUCAAAUAAUUCCUCUUGGCUGUGGAAACAGCCUUCCCAUCCAAAGCGGUCUUUUUUUUUUUUUUUUUUCCCUUUUUCCCCCCCAAAAAACAAGAACAGCUUAUUUCCAAUUUUGGGCAGGUUCCUUGGCCAUGGGCCAGCUCUCCCCAUUGCCUCUCCGUGCUACUUCCCAAUGACCCUCAAGUGACCUUACUGAAUGCCACGGGGACCAAACCUUACCGAACAGCAAAAUCAAAGUAUGUAAAUGAAGCUUGGAUUAUUACAUAUAUAAUGAUGAAAAUGUUUUUCCUAUGCUAUUGCCUGUGCCCAGCUUCCUUCCCUACCACUCUGAGUGCUUCAGAGCUGUGUAUAGCUGUUGAGCUGAAGCACCCAAGAAUGGCUCUGAAGCAGGAAGAGAGAUCAAUCUGCAGGCUGGUUUUCCAGGCACUUUCUUUCUCAUUCUCCACAAGAUAGUUGAUAUUCCUCCGGAUUUUGCUGUUAUUAUUUGGGUGUCUCUACUUCACAGAAAAGGGCAGAUGAAUGCCUUUUGCAGCCUCUUCAGUCCACUCUAGUUCUAUUUUAGGCUGAGAAGACUGUGCUGCUUGGGUAGAUGGGUGCAUUUCAUGCCAACAGCUUAGUCUUUCUGCAAAGUUAGGCAUCUCAGUUUGAAAAAAUAAGUACUAGGUAAAGCUGUUUGAAUCAGUGCAGGAAGCUGAGUUGCUAUCAGAUGUAUAUGGCAUAAAGUACGUAUCCUGAUAGGUACUCUUCUUCAAAGGAAAAGUGGUGAUGUUUACUUGUGCAUUUUAAUGAUGAGAGGAUGCGUACUGUGACACGAAAUCCUAUCCACUGUACCAGUUCAACAGCAUUUAAACACUGAAGUCUGAGCUACGCAUAACCAAUGGGAAGGAUGUGGAAGAACGCUUGCCUGAAGACACCUACUCUUUAUUUUUAUUACAAAGUCAAUUACCAUUUCAAAGCAGCCAUGUGACAUGUAUACUGUCAGGAGCCAGAUGUUGGCAUUGUGAUAUUGUGACAUUAAUUUAAAAGAAGAGUCUUUUUUUUUUUUUUUAAAUGCUGACUUCCCAAGGAUUAAGUUGGAUAUUCUCAAUGUAGUUGAAAAAAGAAUUUACAUUCCCCAAAGACAAACAUUCUUGUUUUCUGUUUGGUUUUAUAACUCAGUCAUUUCUCUAUUGAAGAAGCACAAAACAGAAAGAACUUUUGGUUUCAGGUAGUUUCACUUCAGCUGAUCUUUCUAAAAGCAUGCACCUUUUUAGCUGUUUCAGUUAUGAAUCAUAGAAUGGCCUGGGUUGAAAAGGACCACAAUGCUCAGCCAGUUCCAACCCCCCUGCUAUGGGCAGUUGCCAACCACCAUAUCUUCUUUAUAAAGGGAAGUUUAUUAAGUAAAAUUUGGGUUACUGAGGUUUUAGCACAUGUUGCAUUGAAUCCCUUUUUUUCCCCCCUAAAUCACGUGGUUAAACUUAGUUUGGGUCUCUUACAACCAGAAUCCCUGCUGACUCCGCUCUGGUCCAGGCAGAUUGAACUGAGUCGCAACACUGCUGGUACGCGUCCUCAUCCCCAGUGCCAAGAAAAACCCUUUCCCUCUGUGUUUUCUUGUUAGCAAUACUGCUAUGGAGGCCAAGGACUGACAAUCUUUCUCUUAAUUCUCAAAUCCUCUCCUCCAACAGGGAAGAAGGAAAAAGAUUGAAAAACCUUUUGCUAUUGUUUGGUUGUUUGAUCAUAAAGGGGAACUAGACUGCCAAGCCAGCACCCCAGCAGCCCUAAAUCUAUGUGUAAAAUAUGGGCAAAAGGAGAGAAAAGAUUUAUUGUUAUUAUUAUCAUUACAGACUACCUUUAUAAUAUAUGUGUUUCACUUAAAUUAAUAUUUUAUAACUCUAUAUCAGCCUCUGCAGCCACCCAACAGCAUUUCUUAUUUAUCCAGUCGGACAUACUAAUUUGCUUUUAUCAAAAUACUUGAGAAAUAAUUGUCUUACCUCUCCUAGGACAUGCUACAGGGUUUAUUCUCUCCUUGCUAUCUACAUAGUUAUAAAUCCUCAUGCAUUGAGAGCAGAAUAGGCUUUAUGUGUCUAGCAAUUUCUUAUGAUUUCUAGGCUAUUAUCCCCAAAUCCUAAUUAACCAUUUUUAAAAAUAAUGUGGCCUUUCUACCACGUGAGAUAUACCAACAUGAUAAGAUACGAUGUGAAAGUCCCAAGUAUAAUGUAAUUCUGCUGCUUUACUUUUCCUCUUUUAUUAGAGAUUUCUAACAUAAUACUGCAUUUUCAUCCAAAGUGACAGGAUUCAGUACAUAGUUUGUAGUAUAUGUUUUGCAAACUGCCAGAACAGAGCCAUUGAAUUUAGUUUUCUAAUAAUCAUACAGCCAUACAACACGCCCGUACAUGUCAGAAACUGAAGAAAGCAAAUUUAUACACAACAAUGUGUAUUUUGUAGAUAGCGAUAACCCACCCAAAUCUAAUUUAAUCAAAUAUUUAAAGAGGUAAUAAUUAAUUUUUAAAGAAUUGAAGUGAACCGUAACUAGGAGGAAAUGUUAUUGUUUAUUUUUAAUGCCAGAACUGUAUUCCUGAUGCAUUUUUAAUAUUUCAUUAAGGUGGUAACUUUCAUGGCGUAUUUUUUCAAGUUUCAUAUCUCCCUGAUUUAUUUCUUUUCUUCUGAAGAAAGGUAAAAUGCUAUAGGGAAACUUAAAGCUUAGAAUGAUGCAUUCUUUGAGGAGCUCUUCCUAAAACUUCCUGGAGUCUUUUUAAGCAGAAUUCUUCUUAAGCCUUUCUGGACAAGCAUUCUAAAACCAGAAGUCUUUUAAACAAGCUGAGGUACAGCAUCUGCUUCUGAGCUGAGCAAAGGGUUCUUCUUUCAGCCAAUGAAUGUGUUCAUUGGGUACUACUUUCUAUUCUGUCUCCGAGCUAUUACUCAUCACUCAUCAUUCUUACUUUCCAGAAGAGAUAUCUGCAAGAAUGGUUUUAAAGCCCAUUGCAUUUCAAACCUGUGUUCUGCCCUUCCUCAGUCCUUUGUUUUUUGUUUUAUCCCUUCUUUUCGAUGGAGCGUCUCUCACGUUUUUGAGCCUUUCAUACUCAAACUGUGGAAGCCUGUUUAUUUCACUCUGGCUCCAGCCCUAGUUAAAGGUGUGAACUACCAAAGUGGAAGGGGGCACAUGCACAUUAACACUGCUGUGGAAAACGUCGCCUGACAGAUGGAUGCAUGUUAAAUGGGUGUUUGAAGAAAGGUGUUUGCAAUAAAAAUCCUGAGUAUGGCAUCAGAGGAAGACCACACACAAUUUUCUACUUUUAUUUCUGUAAUAUAUAGGGGCCAGGCUACUUCUGGUCUGCUUUAUACUGUCACUUAAUCAUAUUUGCUAUUUUAUACUAAUAAUUUGUAUAUUAAUAUUUGUGUGUGUAUUUCAAAGUCUGGCUGUUUUCAAGGGUCUGCUCUGCAGCACAAGGGUCUGAGUCAACAUAGUAUAAAUCAUUGGUUUAUUCAAUAAACAAAAUAGUGAAAGGAUAAAUUGAAUUUCUCCAGUUUCAGUCACCAGUUCUUGAUCUCUGGGGGAUACUCACCUAAUAUGUUAGUUAUGGAGCUAUGAAUAUGAUGUGCAGAUACAUCCUUGCUUGGGUUUAUCUACCUUGACCUUAUCUACCCUAAGAACUGAAGUGUUUAAAUUCUGGUUGAGAAUUGAAGCAGGUGAUUAGAACUAGAUGAUCUUUGAGGGCCCUUUCAACCCAAGCCAUUCUAUGACUCUUUGAAAGAGGAACUGUAGAUAAGUUCACUCAAUUUCUGUUCCUAAGUCCUUAGCUGUUCUCUGGAUGGAUAACAGGAUUUUUUAGGCACAGCAUUGCAUUCUCUACCAUCUUUGCUCUUUUCCCAAAAUAUUUCUGACUCAGUCAUCUCCUGCCUACACAGCGAACUUUUGCGCCCCCUGACUUAGGCUGAAUUGGUUUCUCUUUAUGUACAAACAGGACUGCUUUUUCUUUCCUGAUUUCAUAAUUGCUAUUUCUAUUGGUUUGCUUCUUUUAGUUUUCAAUUCUACUUCAACUUGACUAUGAAGAUUAUCAAGAAAUAAAGCAUGAUUCACAUCUACACAUAGUUUACGACCUUUAGAUUCAAGUCCCUUUAUAUAAACUUGCAAAUACGAAAGGAUACGUCAUAAGACCUUGUAGGCACCCAAACUGUCAGUGAAUUCAGCCUGAAACUGUUUUUUUCAGCUUUAUUGAGACCUCUUUAUAAGCUGUGCUUGUGUUAUGACAAUAGAUUGUUUACAGAUUCUUAAAAUGUCCUGAGUUGAUGGAAAAAAAAGGGCAAUUUUUUUCCUUACAAAUACCACUUGACUUUGAGGAGUGUUUGAAGCUACACAACCAGAAUAGGAACAUUCACACCCGCUGUACGAGUGGCUCAAAAACCCUGUCAUUUCUCUCAGGCCCAGCUCCAGCAAGCACUUACACACAUGCUUAACUUUAUGCACACGAGUAAUCCCAUUGAUUUAAUGGGAUUAUUCCCCUAUGCACAGUUACGCAAACAUAAGUGUUUGCAGGACUGGGGUCUAUUUCUCUUGCAAUGAUUUGAAACCUGUGGAAGAAAACGCUAUAUGCAAGUUAGAUAUUAUUUAAUGGCCACAUAUUAAGCCUGAAUAUUUCUGCUGAAAUUGGUGAGGCUGUGUGAGUUUCUUUCUGGCUGAGAAACUGUCCUCUUCUGUGCACAGUGCACACUCCUAGCUUGCUAUGGUGCACCGUGGCUAUCACAGCAUACAAAGGCAUAUGGGAACUGUUGAGUCACAGCCUGAACCACUGACUGAGCACCUGGGGAAAGGACCUGGUCAGCCCUGGGAGCACAGGUGAAGGCAAUUCACCUGUAUGACUGGAAGGGGUGCAGCCUGGCUCCACCUCUCUUAGAUCUCAUUUAAGGGCUGACUGCCACUGGGGAAGGAUCUCCUUCUGGAGAUCCCUCCUUGAUGGAGCUUUCCUUUGUGAACCUGGAAUCAUCUGAUACAGGUGAGCAAUCUUCUUCCCUUCUGUUAUAGCACCUGUCUAUCAUGCUUAUCCUUCAUCAUUAUAUGUCUAGUGAAACACCUUUUCCCAUCAUAUUUAUCUGUCCAUUUACUACAAAAACAAAACGGAGAGAUAAUCAGUAGUAGAAGUACUAAGAGAGAAAAUUCUCCAUGUCCAGAGGUUACUGUAUUUCAAAGCAUUGAUUUAUAACUUGACAAUGACAUUUACAAAACGUUCCUCUAUGUCCAGGAUAUCCUUCUCAUUAAUGCAAUAACAUAAUAACUCAUAAAUAUUUCAUAUAUGUAGAAAAGGCUUACUUUAUAUAUACAUAUGUGUAAAUAAAGAAAUCUAUACACAUAGAGAUGUAUAGUAGAAAAGUACUUCCAAGCAUCAAAAAAACUAUGCAUAAAAUUGUAUGCUCGCAUGCACAGGAUGAUCAUUGUUAUGAAAAUAACUUUGGUAAAAAUAACUGAACUUGAAGUUGCCUCUGACUUGGAUAGUUCACUUUUGAUUUGAAAUUCUGCAGCCAAGAUAAUUUUUAAAAAUUUAGGGCUAGUAACCAUCUGCCAUAAAUGAUAGAAAUUAAAUAUAAAUAAAAUAGUACUUCUACUACCAGUGAUGGGAAUCACAAGCCAAAUGUAUCCAUGGUCUAGGCAGCAGGAACACUUGUAGAACGAAAGCAGCUAAAGGAGCUGUUUUGGCCCAGACAUGUUUUGAUGUGUAGUGUAUCCUGUUGGCUGAACAACAGCAUUAUUAAGCAAUUUGGGCUGGAGCAUCACUGGGCUCUGUGAAGAAUUUGAAGAUCUUGACUGGAGCGUGUUGCAAGAAGAAUCAUGCUGUGUCAUUCAGUAAAAAUAUAAUCAGUCUUACGCCACUGGCACAUUCAAACACCUAGUGGGAUAUGCUGGGCAUCAGUGUUCAAGGUUUUAUGUAAGGUAACAGCUGCUUUGGUCAGGCAGUUAAUUAAAUGUGUUAAUUUUCCAUACAACCAACAGUAGUGACAACAGAUCAAAGUGGAAUUUUAUGACAUUUCAGGGUUCCCUUAUGUGAUCACAAUGGUGGAUGGCACCCACGCUAUCUUUCACAUCCCUUCACUGUAUGAUGCUGCCUUUCCCCUCUGGAAAGCUUCAGUCUUUGACUCUGCAAAUACUCCAAUGGUAAUACUCUGAUACUACUUGCUGGAUAUUGCCAGUUGUCCCAACUCCAAUCUUGAAAAGCUGCUUGGGCUUAUUCCCAUACUGAUGUUGGUUUAGUCUGAAGAUGAAGCAAUUCAUUUGCAAAGCUAUUUUUAAUUUUCUCCCUCCUGUCUUACAUUUCUUAUGAGAAAUAUUCAAUGUAGUGUGGAAAUAAACUAGUAUGGUAUUUUUGAAUAGAUACUGUAUUCUUCAGAUGUAGAAUUACAGAAAAUUAUUUCCUUUUCCUUGAUAGUUCCGUUUGCUGCAUUGCGAGAUGACAAAUUCAACCUUUUCCAUAACAUUGCUACUUUCAUAACACAGUAAUAACUCAAAGGCAUCGGGAAAGAUAAGGUAAAUGGAGAUGAUUCAUGGAAACGACUAUGAAAGCUUUUUAGAAAUAAUGGACUGACAAAUAUGAACAAUAUUUGAAUAAUAUAAAUGAACUAGACAAGUUUCUUCCCCACCAAAUGGAUAUAACACUGUGAAGAAAUGUGGAAGAAAUGUAAAACAACAAGUUAAGAGUAUAAGGACUGACCGAAAAUGAGUCACACUCCCACGCUUUUGGCUCACAAGUUGAAAUACUUGUUUUUACUUGAUUGGGUAGCCACUAAAAGUAUAUAGUAAGAUUUGUUUGAAUUUGAUCUGUCACUUUUUUGAUGGGUGACAAUGAUUUUAUGACAUAUGCCACAUAGUGUCACAUCAUUCAAAACACAUUAAGUCACGCUCUAUCCCGUCAUUUCUGAAGGCAAUAAUGCUAUUCAAUGUGACGUGACAUGAGGAGAUGUAACACAACUCAACAGCUGAAAAAAAUAAAAGGAAAGUUUUGUAGGUGUGACGUGGGUUCCUGAAAUUACAUUGUAAUGAAUCUUAGGAGGAAGAUCCCAGGAGCUAAGUUUGUAAAAUAGAUCCAUUGCUUGACUUGUGUCUUUAGGAUGAUGAGCUCUGGGUUACCGUGCACAGAGGGGCAGUGGGUGGAUGCUACAGUCAUGACAGCAGUCUCACUGGGCUCAGAGGCACAAACUAGCUCUUCAGGAACUACUUGUUGGAGGUUCUUAUGCCUGAAAAGAGACAAGACUGGAACUCUCUAUGGCUUGAAACACCUCUGAGUGUUUUAGAGCAUUUAAAAUUACUGCAGCCUUGAGGAUGUCCUAGGCAGAACCCAUUACAAGCUAGAUAUUUGCUGGUUCUAAUCCUCUAACAGCUCCUUAUGGCUGUUUACAUGGAUGGAUAGUAACAGGAAAAGAGGGAAUGGUCUUAAACUGAGACAGGGGAGGUUUAGGUUGGACAUUAGCAGGAAGUUUUUCACACAGAGGUUGGUGACGCACUGGAACAGGUUGCUCAAGGAGGCUGUGGAUGCCCCAUUCCUGGAGGCAUUCAAGGCCAGGCUGGAUGUGGCUCUGGGCAGCCUGGUGUGGUGGCUGGCAACCCUGCACAUAGUAGGGGAUUUGAAACUAGAUGAUCAUUGUGGUCCUUUUCAGCCCUGGCCAUUCUAUGAUUCUAAUAAAAUUAAAAUGAAGGUAUUUCCAGUCUAUAUGAGCUCUGCUCUUGUUUCUUAAACACUAUGUACUGUCCUGCCUUGGGACCAUCAGGAGCAGAGUGUCUGUGUUUUAUAUAGUAUCGUGACACUAGUUAUUAUUUCUGACUGCAAUGAAGCUAUGUCUACUUAUACACGCAAACAGCCUUUGGCUAGAUUAACAGGAAGUUCUCUCUUCCUACACCAAAAGUAGAACCUCACCACAAAAUGUGAAGUUGCCUGGUCAACUCUGCAAGAUCUCAAAUUCUACAGCUACUCAGGUUGCACCAUAGAUGUUUUCCAGGUUGGUAUAACUUAGCCAUGCACACAAAUAUGGUAUGCUUGCUAGUAUUACACAGCUCCAAAUCUACGCCUUCAUGAAUACAGUCUAGUUGCACAUUAUGUUUUUAUCACCUUUUUGUUGAUGGAGCCUAUGAAUACAGAUUCUCUAAGAUCUUUGGAUACUGUCAGAGUUGGAAGCUCAAGAUCACCCAACCUGAAAUGCUUCCUUAGCUGCCCACCUGGAAUCACUGACCUGAGUUGUCAUCUCCCAAUUCCUAAUAAAAUUCCUGGGAAGGUACUACAUGGCUGUUUUCUACUUUCUUGAAUCUGAUUUUGUUUUAUUCCUUUAAAACUGUCAUUGGAAUUUUUCCUCCUUCUGCAUCCUAACUACAUAAUAACACAGUCCUUAAACCCAGUGUAUAUGAUACAGCUUCAGUAAGAGAAUCAGAAUAGCUGAUCACUGGGGAAAUAGGGCUCUUAUCCAUGUGAGAAGGGGUUACGAAGGCCCUUGGACUUCAGCCUCCAACUCUUAGAUGUACAGCUAACCACUGAACAUUGUAAAUGGGGCACACAGUGCCAGUGAGACCUGAUAUGAUGGCCAAAAAGCUGCUCACAGCUCUGAAUACAAACAGAAAUGUGGGCCCAACUUUCUGCAAUAAUUCACCACCCUAUUUUCACAAUUUCUUAUUAACUUCCCUCUUUUUGGAGCUGCUGCUGUUCUCUAGGCCCAAUUUUCCCUGCUGAUUGUCUUAGAAGACAUCGUUGAUGUCUGGAGUUUUCAUCAUGUUCUAGGGCAGCUGAGAACUGAUUGGAGUAACGUCCAUUCACCUCUUUCUUUUGUGACCUUUUCCAAAAAAAAAAUAAACAAUCCUCUGCAGUUCUGUAACUAUCUUUUAAAAUGUUAAUUACUUGCAGGCUGAGUAUCUUGAAGUUCUUCCACCUUUGCUACCAAAGAGUAACUUGUGUAAAUUCUCGCUUUGUUGUCACACCUGUUGGAAAUCACUGUUACAACUUAGGUGUGAAAAAAUGUGACUGAACUAUACGUAGUAAGAAAAGUACACACACCAAUCUCAAUGUAAGUGCAUCACUGCUGCUAUAAAACAGACAAAACUACUUUGGUGACAUUCGCUGUUACUGUACGUUGACAAGUUCCCAUUUAAUUUACUACAUAUGGUUCUACGUCUCCAUAGCUACUCUCGUGAAUUCAUUAUUCAUUAAAUAAGUGAUGAAUUUACUCAAAUAUUGCAGCCACAUGGCCGACACAAAUGCAUUCUAAUAUUAUUAACACGUUGCCAACUUGCAACUCUUCGAAGUCUGAGUAAAUGUUUUGACAAGAAGAGGCAGCAAGAACAAAUAAGUAGUAGCAGUCUAGAUGAAGUUCAGCCAUAGUUCUAACAGCUUUAAAGUCUUAACAGUGUUUUCACUGGGGCAGUACCAGAUAAAUUGCUCUUAUGUGUGCAUACAAGAGACUAAAAUUCCUUUGAAAGUUUAUAAUUUCUCAUGGGAAAACACAACAUAAAAGUUACUUUUACUCAUAGAAAAACAACACCAUAUUUUCCUGUCAACCUUUGCUGUUGGGAAUUUCAAACUUUUUGCAUUUUUUCCCUGUGAUUCUUUGUCGACCCAAGGGACAGGCGUUUACAACAUAAUUUACUUUCAGCAUGUCUCUGUAAAUCAUUGUAAUACUUUCUAUGGCUAGAAAGAAAAAAAAAAACGCUCUCAAGUUGGACUGACAAAGUACUUUUCCGAGCCUCCAACAGCCAACUAAAAACACCUCUGUUUCAGAAAUGUGGAGAGAUACACAAAAGAAAAGUUUUAUGAGGGCUUUGCGUGAAUGUUUGUAUUCAGAGGUUGUAGCAUUUAUUAGGAAAUAUUUAUUGAACUGCAUUUACUUGCAGUAAAAUAUAUGGAAUGCUUAGUGUGUUGGUGGUACAAAUUAAAAUCACCAGCAUCCCAUGUUUGGAGGAAGGCCGUUAUUUUUUCCUUGCUGUUAUUGAGGCCUGUUGUUGUCACUGUUGUUGUACGGGCUUAGCAGAGCUGUCUCGGAUUAGGUGAUUUAAGCAUGGCCUCCCAUAAAAAAAGCUGGAAACCUGUAGAGCCUUUCAGCCUCACUUUUUGAGGCUGCUGCUAAUAUCAAGGCUCAUUCAGUUUUACAUUAGAACUUGAUGACUUGCACAUUGGUUGAACCUUCACCUUUUACAACCUUAAUGGGGAUUUAUUAGCUAUUUCACAGUGUGUAAAUUUGAAUCUAGGUCAGAUGAGGAAGAAAAAUAGGGCAAAUCUGGGCCUUAAGUAUAACCUGCAUAUAAUAUAUCAGGAUAAAAAAAAAAGGUGCAAAAUUAAACAGAUGAUUAAAAGUGUCUAGAGCAGUCAGAGUUUGAAAAAAGAGCUUGAUAAAUUAGGGGUGUUAGCGGGCUGCUUUUUUUUUUUCUGAGUUCAAACUCAGGUGACUGGUGAAAGUCUGGUUUCCACACAAAUUCAGCAGAUUAAGGAGUUAAAAUAGCUUGUUAACCUGUUUCUGCUAACUGCUCGCAAGAGGAAAUGUAACACAGGUGUGUUUGAUAUUCGCAAGAUUAAAGCUUUUGUCUACCAUCAAAUGUUCACCACAUUAAAGCUUUUUUAAUGAGGUAUUGGAAGAUAAUGAAUGUAAGCCUCUAAUUCACUGCAGAAGAGACAGCUUGCCCCUGCUCUGACCUCACUGCAGCCAGGUAUCUACAACAUAUUAGUCACACACAGACCCAAAGCCAAAAUAGCCACUCUGCUAAAAGCAGAAGUGUUUCGGGUGCUGGAACUUUUCUGCUCAGCAUCCUGGAAAUUUAAAGUCAGGUAUUCCUAGAGUGAGGGUACCCAUCCCUUACUACAGGAGGGCUGCCUGGAUGAGGAAAAAAAGCAGCAGGCACAAGGAGGGGUUUUUACAGUGCCUGUGGAUGGGGGAGUGACUAAGGGGAAAAAAUGGGUGUGAAUUAAUGCUUACUGCUCAAUUAUCAUUCAUCUUAACACUUAGAGAUGCUUAGAUAGUCAAUAGCUGGAGCAAGGAAACGCUGGG
ensembl:lncRNA